rnacentral:pre_miRNA from 1 species
AAUGGAAUAGCUGGGUCAAAUGGUAGUUCCACUCCAAGUUUUCUGAGGAAUCUCCACACUGCUUUGCAUAGUAGCUGCACCAAUUUGCAGUCCCACGAGCAAU